rnacentral:misc_RNA from 1 species
GGAGGGAUCAUUAGCGAGUCUCAGCGCUCCAAACCACUGUGAACUUUCCCACCGUUACGGCGUUGUUUCGGCGGGGGUCCCUCCUGGGACUCUCCGCCAGCAGCGUCAAAUACAUUUUUUAAUAGCGGAGUUUUGCUCUUCUGAGUGGUAUUAUACAAAAGCUAAAACUUUCAACAACGGAUCUCUUGGUUCUGGCAUCGAUGAAGAACGCAGCGAAAUGCGAUAAGUAAUGUGAAUUGCAGAAUUCAGUGAAUCAUCGAAUCUUUGAACGCACAUUGCACCCGGUGGCAUUCCGCCGGGUAUGCCUGUUCGAGCGUCAUUUCUUCCCUCGAACCUAGUCGUCUUAGGACCCCUGGGCUCGGUGUUGGGGAUUGCGGGCCGUCCCGCAGCCCCUAAAGACAUCGGCGUACGUGCUGUACAGCCCCCUGCGUAGUGGUGUUUUCAUUCAGCGCAUCGGGCCGCAGCGUCGCACUGCCGUGAAGCCAAUUUUUCUGAAAUUUGACCUCGGAUCAGGUAGGGUUACCCGCUGAACUUAAGCAUAUCAAUAAGCGGAGGAAAAGAAACCAACAGGGAUUGCCCUAGUAACGGCGAGUGAAGCGGCAACAGCUCAAAUUUGAAAUCUGGCGCUUGCGCCCGAGUUGUAAUUUGCAGAGGAUGCUUUUGGCGACGUGCCUUCCGAGUUCCCUGGAACGGGACGCCAUAGAGGGUGAGAGCCCCGUACGGUCGGUUGCCGAGCCGCUGUAAAGCUCCCUCGACGAGUCGAGUAGUUUGGGAAUGCUGCUCUAAAUGGGAGGUAAACUCCUUCUAAAGCUAAAUAUUGGCCAGAGACCGAUAGCGCACAAGUAGAGUGAUCGAAAGAUGAAAAGCACUUUGGAAAGAGAGUCAAAUAGCACGUGAAAUUGUUGAAAGGGAAGCGCUUGUGACCAGACUUGGGCCUGGCAGCUCAGCCGUCCUUCUGGGCGGUGCAUUCUGCCGGUUCAGGCCAGCAUCAGUUGUCGGUCGGGGAGAAAGGCGGUGGGAACGUGGCUCUUCGGAGUGUUAUAGCCCGCCGCUAUGCCUUUCCGGCGACUGAGGUUAGCGCAUUGCACGGAUGCUGGCGUAAUGGUCAUCAGCGACCCGUCUUGAAACACGGACCAAGGAGUCAUCCUAAUAUGCGAGUGUUUGGGUGUAAAACCCCUACGCGAAAUGAAAGUAAACGGAGGUGAGAGCUUCGGCACAUCAUCGACCGAUCCUGAUGUUCUCGGAUGGAUUUGAGUAAGAGCAUAUUGGGCUGGACCCGAAAGAAGGUGAACUAUGCUUGGAUAGGGCAAAGCCAGAGGAAACUCUGGUGGAGGCUCGCAGCGGUUCUGACGUGCAAAUCGAUCGUCAAAUCUGAGCAUGGGGGCGAAAGACUAAUCGAACCUUCUAGUAGCUGGUUUCCGC